CAAUAAUAACAAUAAUAACAAUAAUAAUAAUAAUAAUAAUAAAAUUAAACAACAAAAUAAAUCUAUUGAAAUUAAUAUUGAAGAAAAUAACUUUAAUAAAUAUGGUACUAUUAUAGAUACUGUAACUGAUACAUUUGAUCGUUAUGUUGAUACAAAUGUACCUGUUGUAGCUAAUAAUAAUAUAUUAGAAACAAAAGACAUAAAUUUAAAUAACCCAUUAUUACAAAACAACCUGAACGUUAAUAAUAUUGAUAAUAGUGGUAGCAAUAACAGUAAUAACAUUAAUGAUUAUAAUUAUAAUAAAAAAAAAUAGUUCAUUAGAUAUACAUAGUAAAAAUGAAAAAACGAAUAUAAAAUUUAAUAAUAAUAAUGUAAUAAAUAUAAAUACAUGUAUAAAUAAAAAUAUGGAUCUUAUGAAAAGUGAUAUUAUAUUAUACAUUGAUGGAAUUAGUACUACUCAUAUACAAAAAGAAUUCAACAAAUUACAAAUAAGUAAAGAAAGUUCUAACAAUAAUAAUCAUGAAAAUAAUAAUAAUCAGGACAUAAUAUAUUACAAUAAAGAAGAAUAUUAUAAAAAACAAGUUGAACAAUAUCAACAGAUUGGUAUUGAUCAACAGUUUGGUGGUAAUAAUAACAAUAGUAUUAACAAAGACACGGUAUAUAAAAAAACAGACGAUAACAUUAAUAAUACAUUAAAUUGUAAUAUUAGUUUGAAUGAAAAUGUAAAUGUUAAUGAUAAUACAACAGAACAUAUAUCUAAAAAAAAUAUAACAAAUCUUAAUUUAUAUUUUUACACACAACAUAAGAGUGAGUUGAAUAACAUUAAUACUAAUGUGAAUAAUGACAGCUGUAUUAACAAAUCAGUAGAUUAUAAAAAUGAAAGUGUAAUGGGAACAAAAGAAGUGGCAGAAACAGUAACAGAAACAAAAGCAGUAACAGAAACAAAAGCAGUAACAGAANNNNNNNNNNGCAGUAACAGAAACAAAAGCAGUAACAGAAACAAAAGCAGUAACAGAUACAAAAGCAGUAACAGAAACAAAAGCA
rnacentral:lncRNA from 1 species